GGCUGCUAUGGAGCCUCGGAGCCGUAACCAAAACAAAGGAGCUCGGCUCAGGUCCGGCGACUCCCGGUCACAGAAGCAUCCACACCCUGCGCUCCACUGGAUGGCCACCAAACCCGAUCCCAGGACCUGGUCUGCAGAACAAGGGGUGUAGUACUGUGGCCUCUAGCUCACCCUAGAUUUUAUCACAGCCACUGAACAAAAUGGUUUAACGUCAGUCUAGGGAGCUAUGUUUGAAAGAGGGUUUCCUGAACGUGAUAGGAAACGAGGGGAAAGAGAGACAGGCAAAGCUAAAGAGGGAGAUUCGGCAAUUUUCACUUGGGCAUCCAAAAUUCGAAGUCAACAUUCAAGAAAGGUCAUCACAGUCCGAAACCCACCACCCUGGAAGCCUCAGAAGCGCGGGAGCAGGGCGCUCGGCCACGCGAAGGACCCUGGGGAUGUAGUCCCUAGCUCGGCCCUUUCGGCAAAGCCGCAGUACUAGGCAACACUUGGGAACUACGACUCCCAGAAGGCAGCGCGGCUCCGCGACGCCCACAGCCCCGCAUCAAAAGAACUGGUACAGAACUGCACCCCUAAACCCAGGCUUCUUCUGUCCAUUAGCACAAAAGGUAACAUCUCAGGAGCGAGGUCAUCAAGAACAUUUUCUAAGAUCACUGACUCCAGACACCUUGACACCAGGACCGCUGGCUCCAGGACAUAGACAACUCAUGGACGACACCUGAGCACUUGCCCUUGUUUUGACCAGUUCCUGGAUGCCUGACAGGACAUAUACACAGACCACCAUCCUCAGUAAAAGCUCCAGACCCCAAGCAAAGAUGAGACUCAUUCCCCUUUUCCUUUCCGAGUCUCCCCAGAUGCUCCGCCUGUAUCUGCCCUCUCUAUAUCUCUGAUAAACGCCACUCUCACUUC